rnacentral:misc_RNA from 1 species
GUUUAAUUGAGUUGAGUUAAGUAUUUUAAAAAAUUUCUUUUGUUUGUGAGUGUAGUGAUAUUGCCAUUGUUAUCUUGAUUUAACGAAUGAAAGUUAUCAAUUUCUGAAAUUCUAUGUCUAGUUUGGAUAUUUUGUUUCAACUUAUACAAAAGAAAUUAAAUAUGUUUAGAUUUUUUUUUCAACUUAUAUAAAAGAAAUUUAAUGUGUGUGAUGAUCAAAAUUUGAAAGUUUAAAAUGCUUUCUUCUCUAUUUGCGUUGGCCCUGUGAUUUUGCAAAGUGCUGUUUUGCCGUCUUAUUUUAUGUUCAUAGGGUUUUAUGUAUUUAACAAAAGCUGGCAUAUAAAUGCUCAUGCAUCAAGAUGACAUCUUGAAAGGCCAAUUUUUCCACAGUUUUCAUACAAGAAAAUGUGACUAUUACGA